AGGAAGUUCUACUGCCGUUCAGAAAAGUUUAUAUUCUAUAGAUAAUAUAUUCAAUAAUGAUCGUCCGGUGCUUGUUUCUUUUGGCACUUUGCUCGUUGACGACCAUCGUUACCGUCCAUUCGAUUCCCGUAACAUCUCCAGUAGAUGAUAAACUUACGAACAUUGAAUCUUUAAAACAGAAAAUUGACAUGGCUCGGACGGUGGACGGUCCAGAUGAAUGUGUAAUUGACACUGCAAUUAGGGACACCUGUGAAAGUUGUUCAAAAGUAACCAAAUCUGUUAUCGUUUAUCCAUUCUGUUGUAAAGCAAAACUUGGUAUCAGGAAUUGGUGCGUGGAGUUUCUCAAUUAUUCAUUGAAAGAAUCGAAAACUAAUCGCUAUAUAUAGCCAUAUUAUAUAUAUAAUUCCUACCAAAAAUUAUUCAUUCAAGAUCUUAAAGUAGGGAUGGCAUGAACUUUUCGCUUGGAUUUGUGAUGACAAAAUUAGAAAAUGUAUUUAUUUGAAAAACGUCUUCCAGUUUUGAUACAAAAUAUUUAUUUAGCAGAGGAAUUAAAUUGUGUAUGAAGUUUUUAAUUAAAUAAAAAUAUUUGUGUAAAUGUA